rnacentral:rRNA from 1 species
CUAAGGUAGCAUAAUCAUUUGUUAUUUAAUUGGUAGCUGGAAUGAAAGGUUAAACUAAUUUAUUAAGUUUGUGUAACUAAGUAGUAAAUUAAAGUUAAGGUAAGAAUUCUUUAAUCUUCUAGGGGACGAUAAGACCCUAUAAGCUUGACGAGCAUAGAGGGUUGUUCUAGAAGUUUGUUUGUUUUACUGGGGCGGUAAAAGUAAAUAAGCUAUUUAGUAUUUAGAGGAUCCUUAAAAUAAAGAAAAAAUGGAAAAGUUACUCUAGGGAUAA